CCAGGAACCCUCUCACCUUCUGAGACUUCUUCUUCCCCUCAUACACCUGAGCCACCACACACUGGGCCUUUUUACUGUUGUUCCCCCACUGACACCCAGACCGGCCCCUCAUACCCCUGAGCCACCACACAGUAAUGGACCAGCUACAUUGAGGUGGUUCUAUCUGCGAUGGAAAACAGAGGACGGCGGGCCAAAAGCGACUCAAAGUAGAGUUGAGCUGGUGCCAGCGAUGGAAAAGCACUAUGGCUGGGCCUUCUGCUUUUGUUGCCCCACCGGCACAGAGACCGCAUCAGGAUAUAAGAAGGGUAAGGACAGAGCUCCAGCCUCAGGGACCUUUUUAUUAUAGCAUCUGCCUCCACAUCCAGAACUCACUGACACUGUGUCUGCGCUCCCAUCCCUUUUUCGGGGGGGUAAACCAGAGAGUGACAUUAUGGCGAGACUGAGAAAUAAUUACAUUCUCCCAUGUAUGGGCAUGUAUCUUCUACGAUAAAUCUUAAUUGUUGUUUUAA